rnacentral:lncRNA from 1 species
GGGUGCUCUACUAGAAGCUGGAUGCUGACCAGUAUCAGGAUGAUUCAGAAUUAGAAUAAGAAAGGAGAGAAACUACUCCUGGAUGGACAUAACAACAAUGUGCAAAGAUAAACUAUCAAAUUGUGAAGAAAAGAUUAAGAUGUUUUAUGAGUGGUAUUUGCACUUGGUGAGCCGAGCCACCACCCCUCCUGCAGCAGGUACUUUGAUGUGAGAGAUAAAAGAGUACAAAUGGAUGGGGAUCUUUCUGGAGUAAGGAGACAUCAUAACUCUCCCCACAGGAAUUUAUCACUUCCUGCUGGAGGAAAAGAUCUAGAUGAAGGCCAUGCAGCUGUUUGUGGGAGACCCAGUGUGGACUGUGUACAACUGGCCAGGUGACCUUUUUGAUGCCUGGGGACAAUACAGGAAAUUUCUGGCACAAACAGCAUAGCA